CUUCUCCCUCGCCGCGAGAGUGCUCAACCUGGUGUCCUGGAUAAGGCAACGGGAUAGGAAGCGAUAAUUGGCGGAGAGUGAAGGUUCCCGUCCUAGGCCGAAGUCCUCGUUGUUGCCGGAAGAAGUACCGCAUGACUUCGCCGGGUAGCGGCGGAUCGACGACUGCAAGUUAUGUAGCCAAUUCGCCCCCCUACUUGUAGAUCUGGGUUUUUGUAAAGUUUAUCCGGAAGCUACUUGUAGAUCUGGGUUUUUGUAAAGUUUAUCCGGAAGAUUUGUAUGGAUUGGGGUAGAUCCGAAGUACAUAUCCAUCCCACGCUUGGGGUUUUAGGGUAUGACACUCGCACCUUUGGAUUGUAGUAGAUGUUCGUCCGUAUGCAACCAUUUUGUUGUUGUCGUCGGCUGUUUCGACUAGAAAAAUACAAACCCUAGGAUAUUACACUACGAUUUAGUUUCAUAUCUUUCGCUUCAAAUGCGGCAAAGUGUAGUUAACAUCUUUUUGAAUCACUGCUAGAUGUCCUACACUCCAAAAGACGCCCUGGAAUGGGCUGUUCGGGAGAUGGAGGACCACACCUGUCAAAUUAGGUAGCUUGUCGGCAGUGCUACAAGCACACCAAUGCCAACCGAGCAUCUGAAAUGUGUUAACCUCAAGAUUUUUAAGCUCGCGGACUGGCUUGACAAGGUUUCAAUCCUAUGCUUCGAGGUUGUCGAGAAGGAUGGAAGCAACCACCUCGAUGACAACACCACAGAGGAAGAACUUGAAGCAGCUCGUGAGAUAGAACUUGAAAGGCUCCCCACUCCCGAAACUCUUAAAAACCUUGAGGACUUUUGUGAGGAAUGGGGUAUGCAGUAUGACAACGAUCAAUCUCGUGGGAUCAACUAGGAGUAAUUGUAGAAUAAUGUAAGGUUCAGAGAGAUGUAGCACAUGGAACUUGUUAUGUGUCAAUGUAAAAUGGUAAUGUGAACUCUAGUGUCUUGUGGAGUCAAUGUGAACCAUGAAGUGCCAUGUUUGGAGUUAUGAACUACAUGCUUAUGAAAUGAUGAUGGCUUCUUCCGAUUUUGCAUUGUGUUGUUGUGUUUAAUACAAUUGCAGUCGUACUCAUUACUACAAAAUUUUGCCCAUUUAUCACUCAAGUUUCCUAUGGACAACUCUUGGCCUCGUUUUCCAUUUCACAGUAUGUACGAAGUAACCUAUACUCCAAGAUUGGAACUGUCAACAGAUCAAGCAUGGAACAACUAGGAAGGGUUCUAGAAUCCUAACGAGGCAAUGCAAGGCAUACAAGACCUUGUUCAGGAUGAGCUGCCGCCAAUGAGUUCUAAAAAGAAAACAGUUCACAAGAGGCUCAAAAAUUUCACUGCAACUGAGGAUGAAUGUCUUGUAUCAACGUACUUAAAUGUUAGCACAGACCCAAUUGUGGGUGUGAACCAACCAAUAAAAGGCUACUAACAGAGGAUCGCUAACUACUGCGAAGAACACAAGAAAACUCCAGUUUCUCCGACCAUAUCCUCCCUACAGCAUUGGUGGGCAGACAUUCAAAGGGACACUUCAAGGUUUUGUGGAUUCUUUGCCCAAGUUGAAAGGCGCAAACAGAGUGGUGUGAACGAAUCUGACAAGGUUGGUUUAUGGUUUGGUUACUCUAUACAACUGGCAGUGCAUUCAAGUUCAUGCAUUGCUGGUUGAUGCU